CAGCCAUGCCGUCUCUUGAAGCUACUGUUGUUGGGAGAGUGGGGAUGUCGUAGGAAUGAUAUUUCCGGUCUGACGGAAGCUUAGGGUAAGAGAGGCAGGUCACAAGAGUAGCUAGGCUUCGAGAUGGAUUUUAGGGACUUCUACAAUAAGACCUAUUUUCCUUCCCAAUUUGCUGGCGUUGUGUUUACCACCUUUCAGGCAAUGCUCGAGGCGGUUGUUGGAAGCCCCGUGAUUCGAAAGCAAGGAGUAUCGGUCUCAGUCGGCCGCGAGACGUGGUCUCGGACAGAGGUCAAAUUGCCAGCCUCCCAAAAUUAGGCCUACCCACGACGCACUGGUGGACCCGGACCCCAGACCUGAACAGAGGUCGGACCGCAUUCUUCUACAAGGAUACACAGAAUAUUGCAUAAAGGCAAUGCUCGAGGCGGUUGUUGGAAGCCCCGUGAUUCGAAAGCAAGGAGUAUCGGUCUCAGUCGGCCGCGAGACGUGGUCUCGGACAGAGGUCAAAUUGCCAGCCUCCCAAAAUUAGGCCUACCCACGACGCACUGGUGGACCCGGACCCCAGACCUGAACAGAGGUCGGACCGCAUUCUUCUACAAGGAUACACAGAAUAUUGCAUAAAGAUUCCAUGAGUCACGUGCCGUCUCUCUGCUCGCAAGUGUGCAUUAACCCAC